rnacentral:rRNA from 1 species
UACGUAGGGGGCGAGCGUUAUCCGGAUUCACUGGGUGUAAAGGGAGCGUAGACGGCCAUGCAAGCCAGGGGUGAGAGCCCGGGGCCCAACCCCGGGACUGCCCUUGGAACUGCAUGGCUGGAGUGCGGGAGGGGCAGGCGGAAUUCCUGGUGUAGCGGUGAAAUGCGUAGAUAUCAGGAGGAACACCGGCGGCGAAGGCGGCCUGCUGGACCGCGACUGACGUUGAGGCUCGAAAGCGUGGGGAGCGAACAGG